rnacentral:rRNA from 1 species
UACGUAGGUGGCAAGCGUUGUCCGGAAUUACUGGGUGUAAAGGGCGUGUAGGCGGGAAGGCAAGUCAGAUGUGAAAUCCCAGGGCUUAACUCUGGAGCUGCAUCUGAAACUGUUUUUCUUGAGUACUGGAGAGGAAAGUGGAAUUCCUAGUGUAGCGGUGAAAUGCGUAGAGAUUAGGAGGAACACCAGUGGCGAAGGCGGCUUCCUGGUCUGUAACUGACACUGAGGCGCGAAAGCGUGGGGAGCAAACAGGAUUAGAUACCCCCGUAGUCCCU